UAGUGGCGAACGGGUGAGUAACACGUGGGCAAUCUGCCCUUCACUCUGGGACAAGCCCUGGAAACGGGGUCUAAUACCGGAUAACACUGCGGAUCGCAUGGUCUGCGGUUAAAAGCUCCGGCGGUGAAGGAUGAGCCCGCGGCCUAUCAGCUUGUUGGUGAGGUAAUGGCUCACCAAGGCGACGACGGGUAGCCGGCCUGAGAGGGCGACCGGCCACACUGGGACUGAGACACGGCCCAGACUCCUACGGGAGGCAGCAGUGGGGAAUAUUGCACAAUGGGCGAAAGCCUGAUGCAGCGACGCCGCGUGAGGGAUGACGGCCUUCGGGUUGUAAACCUCUUUCAGCAGGGAAGAAGCGAAAGUGACGGUACCUGCAGAAGAAGCGCCGGCUAACUACGUGCCAGCAGCCGCGGUAAUACGUAGGGCGCAAGCGUUGUCCGGAAUUAUUGGGCGUAAAGAGCUCGUAGGCGGCUUGUCACGUCGAUUGUGAAAGCCCGAGGCUUAACCUCGGGUCUGCAGUCGAUACGGGCUAGCUAGAGUNCGGUAGGGGAGAUCGGAAUUCCU
rnacentral:rRNA from 1 species